rnacentral:rRNA from 1 species
GACGAACGCUGGCGGCGUGCUUAACACAUGCAAGUCGAACGAUGAAGCUGGAGCUUGCUCCGGUGGAUUAGUGGCGAACGGGUGAGUAACACGUGAGCAAUCUGCCCUUGACUCUGGGAUAACUGCGGGAAACUGUAGCUAAUACCGGAUACUUUCACUGGAAGGCAUCUUCUGGUGAAGAAAGAAUUUCGGUCAAGUAUGAGCUCGCGGCCUAUCAGCUUGUUGGUGAGGUAACGGCUCACCAAGGCGACGACGGGUAGCCGGCCUGAGAGGGUGACCGGCCACGCUGGGACUGAGACACGGACCAGACUCGUACGGGAGGCAGCAGUGGGGAAGAUUGCACAAUGGCCGCAAGCCUGAUGCAGCAACGCCGCGUGAGGGAUGAAGGCCUUCGGGUAGUAAACCUCUUUUAGCAGGGAAGAAGCGAAAGUGACGGUACCUGCAGAAAAAGCACCGGCUAACUACGUGCCAGCCGCCGCCGUAA